rnacentral:rRNA from 1 species
AUCCUGGCUCAGAGCGAACGCUGGCGGCAGGCUUAACACAAAUGCAAGUCGAGCGGGCCCUUCGGGGUCAGCGGCAGACGGGUGAGUAACGCGUGGGAACGUGCCCUUCGGUUCGGAAUAACUCAGGGAAACUUGAGCUAAUACCGGAUACGCCCUUAUGGGGAAAGGCUUGACUGCCGAAGGAUCGGCCCGCGUCUGAUUAGCUGGUUGGUGAGGUUAUGGCUCACCAAGGCGACGAUCAGUAGCUGGUCUGAGAGGAUGAUCAGCCACACUGGGACUGUGACACGGCCCAGACUCCUACGGGAGGCAGCAGAAGGGCGAAUU